GGGGCUGUAGCUCAGUGGUAAAGCACUUGCCUAGCAUGUGUGAGGCACUGGGUUCAAGCCCCAGCACCA
rnacentral:tRNA from 1 species